rnacentral:rRNA from 1 species
GUGCCAGCAGCCGCGGUAAGACAGAGGUGCCAAGCGUUAGGCGGAAUCACUGGGCUUAAAGCGUGUGUAGGCGGGUGCCUAAGUACCUUGUGAAAUCCCACGGCUCAACCGUGGAACUGCUGGGUAUACUGGGCGUCUUGAGCCACUUAGGGGCAAGCGGAACAAAUGGUGGAGCGGUGAAAUGCGUAGAUAUCAUUUGGAACGCCGAUGGUGAAAACAGCUUGCUGGGAGUGUGCUGACGCUGAGACACGAAAGCCAGGGGAGCGAACGGGAUUAGAAACCCGCGUAGUCC